CCUGUUUAACAAAAACAUGUCUUUUUGAGUUAUUUUUAAAGUCUGACCUGCCCACUGAAUUUUUAAAUGGCCGCAGUAUUCUAACUGUGCAAAGGUAGCAUAAUCAUUAGUCUUUUAAUUGAAGGCUGGUAUGAACGGUUGGACGAGGUAUAAGCUGUUUCAUGUAAAUUUAUAAUAGAAUUUUAUAUUUUAGUUAAAAAGCUAAAAUUUAAUUAAAAGACGAGAAGACCCUAUAAAUCUUUAUAUUUUAUGUUAUUUAAAUUUUAUGGAUUUAUUUUAUUUUUAUAAUAUAAAAUAUUUUGUUGGGGUGAUGUUAAAAUUUAAUGAACUUUUAAUUUUUAAAAAUCAUUAAUUUAUGAGUUAUUGAUCCAUUAGUAGUGAUUAUAAGAUUAAGUUACUUUAGGGAUAACAGCGUAAUUUUUUUGGAGAGUUCAUAUUGAUAAAAAAGUUUGCGACCUCGAUGUUGGAUUAAGAUAUAUUUUUAGGUGUAGCUGCUUAAAU
rnacentral:rRNA from 1 species